AAAUACCAAAAGCUGUCCUCAUUGAGUCAUCCCUCCCAGAGCAGGAAGAGCAGAGGUUCUGGGAAACAACCCCAAGGAGAGAGACAGGGCAUUUAUAAAACAGCAUGUAAGCAUCUCUGCAGUUGCUGUCCCCAGAGCCCACUUCCUGGAUAUUGCCAGCUGCCUGGACCAACCUUUCCGAAAGAUCAGCCAGGUCACAGUGAGGGUCAAAGCAGGAGGCCACUGGAGGCUCCAAGGGCUCUGAAAUGUUGAGAACUUCCCUGCAGGUACCAGCGAAGAGGGCAAGAACACAGCACUACUUCCUUGGAUACUGUUUCCCUCCUCAGAGGGGUUUUCUGAGCUGCCCUGGGUCCUGUGAGGAAGAUCUCCCCUUCCUGUAAAGACACCAGUCCUACUGGAUCAGGGCCCACCCGUGUGACUUCACUUUUACUUGAGUACCUCUCACAGACCCUAACUCCAAAUCAGGUCACUUGCUGAGGUACUGCAUGUGAAGACUUUGACAUUUGAAUUUUGAGGGGGCCACCGUUUAACCUGAACCACCAAGGACAGAGCCAAAGACCCUGGGUGACAGGCCCAGAACAGGACCUGGUGGAGGCUCUUCUUUAGGGGAGAGAGGGAAAUGGGAGCCACCACUGGCAGAGCCUGAAGGCAGGGCAGCCAGAAAGAAGCUGUGGGAGUCCCCACCAUGGAAGACCCUGCCGAGCAUCCUGUGUCUCCUGAAGCAGACCCUGACAUGAGGACUGGGGGCACGUGUUUAUUAAGGGCGAUCCCCGGAAGGAGGAGAUAACCAGAAGUCCUAGCAGAGUAUGCCCACGCUGGUUAGUGCUGCUGCAAAGAUGAGCCGAAGACCAUGAGAGACCUCCAGGUGGUCCUUCUGGGGAGAAGAAAUGGGUUUUGGCCCCAAAUCCUUCUGCUGCAUUUUUCCCCUAUCCCUGGGAAGCCAUGAGACCUCAAACCUGUGUUCCCAAGGAGGCGAGCUGCUGUUCCCAGGUGAUGAUAUGAUGUGCUUGGGGAAAGUAAGUGGCUGCCAGACAUGGCUGAGAGCUGUUGUCACUGCCGUCAAGUGCAUGUCUCCAAGCCAUAUCACACGGCGUCCCUCGAUGUGAGGCCACAUGGCAAGUGGGCCGUGGAUCUCCCUCUGCCCUUUGCAAGCACGUAAGACAGCAGAUUUUGCAGAUACCUUGUGGCGCAGGGGAAUUUCCUUUGGCCAGGUCUGAAGAAAUAAAGCAGCAGGCACCGAGAACAAAGCCAAGGCUUUCAAAAGACAAGGAGCCAAAAAACUUACUCAAAAUAAAAGUAGUUUUAAAAUG
rnacentral:lncRNA from 1 species